GCUUAAUUUUUUUUUGGUCCGUGUGGUAAAAAUGUUCAUGGUUGAGGAUCAGGCUCAAGAGCACCGGAAGUGUUUCGGAAAAGCAACGGUAGUCAGCCAGGACAAGUGUUCCAAGAGUGAAAGAAUCAUCAGCGUCUACGAUGUGUUCUUCAGAGAGUGCUAGCCUAUUGGGAGGAGGAAAUCAAUGCUGUCUUUAACUUCCUCUGGAAGUCUUUGUUAUCUCUGAAGUCUACCCGCUUCCCGGAAAUGAGAUCGUCACUACUGCCGGUGAUAGUGUUCGGCUGCCCAGCAGUUUUCCAUUCUACAAAAACCUCAAGAAGAAUGUCCAAUUUCUUGGCCUGACCCACGGACAUAAUUUAAAAGAAAGAUGCGAUUGAGUUUCACUAACACGUCAGCAAUAUUCAGUGAGCAUUUCAACUUAAAAAAAAAUUAUUGAAACUCUACAGCGAUCUGAGCAAUUAGUUGAGCAUCGCGAAUAGAAGUUUCCGGAUCCUGUCUACGUCUCUUGAUAAGGCCCUCAUUGUAUGGAACCCGUGAUGAUUUCCAGAGUACGGACAAUGGGACUGAUUUCUCCGGACAGUCACUAUGCUAUUUCCGGCUCAUGGGACAAGUAGUGCUGCUGCAGGAUUUGUCUGUUAGAACAUCUAAUCUUCGUUUCCAAGAAGAUACAAAGGAUGAAUUUACCGAAGAUUUCUCUUUCUACAGUCGUUAGAUCGUGUCUGGAUCUGGAGACAAGACUAUCAUAUGUGGAGUUCUUUGGUCGAAUACAAGCACACCAUUCAAGAGGAGGAUGGUUACACCGAUUGGGUAUCUUGAGUAACAAUCCCAUCAUUUUAUCAGUUGCAUGGGAAAUUCUGGAACUCAACCAACUGCAAG